GGCCGGUGAUGUAAGUAAAUAUUUUCUACUCUUGAUGGGAAUCUAUCAAAUUUGCAUCUGAUGAUUCUUUAUCCACCAAGAUCUCUGAGGCC
rfam:Capsicum annuum cultivar Zunla-1 chromosome 1, whole genome shotgun sequence